AGAUUGUGGGUAAUGUAGUCCAGUAUUGGUUCUCUCUGCAGAACCAAUACUGGACUACAUUACCCACAAUCUGC
rnacentral:miRNA from 1 species